rfam:Lupinus angustifolius cultivar Tanjil chromosome LG18, whole genome shotgun sequence.
AAUCCAUGAUUAGGACAUUUCCUCAGCAACAUCUGGAAACGUUCUCAUGCCCCAUAAAAGCUUCCUCAAUACCUUGUCUGAAUGUUGAAAUUUCGAAGUUU